CAUUUUGACGUUUAGCUGCAGAAGAAGCACCGGCUAACUCCGUGCCAGCAGCCGCGGUAAUACGGAGGGUGCGAGCGUUUAAUCGGAAUUUACUGGGCGUAAAGCGCAUGCAGGUGGUUUGUUAAGUUCAGAUGUGAAAGCCCGGGGCUCAACCUCGGAAUUGCAUUUGAAACUGGCAAACUAGAGUACUGUAGAGGGGGUAGAAUUUCAGGUGUAGCGGUGAAAUGCGUAGAGAUCUGAAGGAAUACCGGUGGCGAAGGCGGCCCCCUGGACAGAUACUGACACUCAGAUGCGAAAGCGUGGGGAGCAAACAGGAUUAGAUACCCUGGUAG
rnacentral:rRNA from 1 species